ACAAAAUUUACGAUAUACAAAAUGUAGUCUCAAAGACUAAGCUAUUAAGAGUGACUUUCCCCCCUAUAUAUUAGAAAGACAGAUGCAGAUAGCUAUAGAUAGCAGGAGUUGUCAUGAAAACUCACAGAGAACUGAGGAAGCUUGUAGAUGCAGCUCAGUAGCUACAAGGAAACUCGUAGACACCAAGUGCUUUGGUCAUCGUAUGCAUUUAAUUAUAUGAAUUUCUGAAAGUUUUUGGAAUGAAUGUGUGAAAUCUUCCUGUUCUUGAUAUUUCCUCUAGCUGACUUCAACAUUCCAAGCAUUAAUUAAUUUAAAAAAGACAUCAGAAGCCAUGCCAGAGAGACUCUUUGUCACAGUCUGAUUAUGAAUCUGGAAUGACAAGAAGAAAAAUUUGAACACAAAGAGACACCAAAGAUGCUAGUGCAGAUAAGAGACCAUGUGAGGACAGUGAGAAGACAGCUCCUUGCAACUUAGGAGGGAGGCCUCAGAAGAAACCAACCCUGGUGACAUAUUGAUCUCAAACACCUCGCCCUAGAAUUGUGAGGAAAUACAUUUUUGUUGUUGAAGUCACACAAUCUGUGGUAUCUUGUUACACCAGCUCUGGAAAACGAAUACAGGAAUUUUCUGGAUCAUUAUGGAGGAAGAGGGGGAGCCCAAACAAAACACCGGACUCUGAAACAAGUCGACAGAAAUCGGGCUUUGGGAGACUGAAACACACGUAAUUUUCAAGGUAAAGUAAUAGAAUGAGGCAGAGAAUAACUGUCAUAGAAAGAACGAUUACCAUAAAGCUGUAAGGUGAACAAUUCCCAGAGCUCACACAGGGCUGUGACUCCUUCUAAACAGCCAGAGUAAAGAAAUCUUGUUUAAUAUCUGGGGAAUUCAGUAAGAACCCCAGAAGCAUGAUACCUCUGUACUAAACAUAAACUAGGCCUAGAAUAAAGGUUAAUUUCGGCUGCCUUUUAAAAUCCUUCAAAUUAAGCCUCAACAUAAUCAAA